CACUGAAGGCCAUGGAAAUUAACAAGGUGCUUUUGGAUGUUAUCAGUUAACUGAAAUUUGUUAGUGGUUUUAGAGCUCUUUUUCGGUGCACAUUCAUGAUGAUGAAACAGGCAGUUUAACCAUAUUUUCUGAAGUAUUUCAGCAGUAUUAAUAGCAAGUGAAGCAAGAGUAAAAAUCUGAGGCCAUCAUGAUUCAAUAUUUCAAACCUAGUUUGAUCACUCUGCAGAAUUCACAAUGGCAUCUUUCAGCAAGAUUUCCAAUUUGCUUUGCUACCAUUGGACAAAAAAAGCACGGAUAUAGACAGCUCAUACAGAAAAUUGCUGGUUUAUACACAACUGUAAUGCGACAGAUUUUUGAACAGGGUUUUGUAUAGUAAACUCUAGUUGAGGCUUUAAUAUAAAUUACAGAAAAAAA